GGUAAUACCGGCAGCUCAAGUGGUCGUCGCUUUUAUUGGGCCUAAAACGUCCGUAGCCUGUUCAGUAAAUCUGUGGGUAAAUCAACCUGCUUAACGGGUUGAAUUCUGCAGAGACUGCUGGACUAGGGACCGGGAGAGGUGUGGGGUACUCGAGGGGUAGGGGUAAAAUCCUGUCAUCCUUCGAGGACCACCAGUUGCGAAGGCGCCACACUGGAACGGAUCCGACGGUCAGGGACGAAGCCUAGGGGCACGAACCGGAUUAGAUACCCGGGUAGUCCUAGGUGUAAACGCUGUGAACUUGGUGUCGGGAGUCCGCAAGGGGCCUCCGGUGCCGGAGUGAAGAUGUUAAGUUCACUGCCUGGGGAGUACGGUCGCAGGUAAUACCGGCAGCUCAAGUGGUCGUCGCUUUUAUUGGGCCUAAAACGUCCGUAGCCUGUUCAGUAAAUCUGUGGGUAAAUCAACCUGCUUAACGGGUUGAAUUCUGCAGAGACUGCUGGACUAGGGACCGGGAGAGGUGUGGGGUACUCGAGGGGUAGGGGUAAAAUCCUGUCAUCCUUCGAGGACCACCAGUUGCGAAGGCGCCACACUGGAACGGAUCCGACGGUCAGGGACGAAGCCUAGGGGCACGAACCGGAUUAGAUACCCGGGUAGUCCUAGGUGUAAACGCUGUGAACUUGGUGUCGGGAGUCCGCAAGGGGCCUCCGGUGCCGGAGUGAAGAUGUUAAGUUCACUGCCUGGGGAGUACGGUCGCA
rnacentral:rRNA from 1 species